ensembl:lncRNA
ACACACGGGUGCUCACUGCUGGUCCUGGAUACGGUCCCUGAAACCUCAGGAUCAAGGGAUCACCUGGAGCAUCCCAUGCUGAAGGAAAGUGCCUGAGGCUGAACUGAGGGCCCCUAAUCCUGGAAGUCUGGGCUGAGGAGGAUCCGCUGGCAAAGGAGCUAAGAGGGGAAAUCGGGACAGCGUGGGUCAUGGGAACAAGAGCAGGGGACGAUUCAAGGAUGGGGGCGUCUACCAGGGCCUCAAAGUGAAAGCAAUAUUUACAUUUAGGCACUGUUAAACUCCCUGUACCAGCUAAUGGGGUACAACCUCUUCAAACUGACUGAUUUUAUUAUUCUUCUAUUUAAGCUUGCUGUGUAAUUUUUGAGGAGCUAAGCGGAAAGGGGCAAUGCAACAGAGGAAAAUUCCAGAUUCUAGCUUCGGACAGGGUCUGCUGAACUGUGCAUCA